GAGUUUGAUCAUGGCUCAGAACGAACGCUGGCGGCAUGCCUAACACAUGCAAGUCGAACGAAGUCUUCGGACUUAGUGGCGCACGGGUGCGUAACGCGUGGGAAUCUGCCCUUGGGUACGGAAUAACUCAGAGAAGUUUGUGCUAAUACCGUAUAAUGUCUUCGGACCAAAGAUUUAUCGCCCAAGGAUGAGCCCGCGUAAGAUUAGCUAGUUGGUGAGGUAAGAGCUCACCAAGGCGACGAUCUUUAGCUGGUCUGAGAGGAUGAUCAGCCACACUGGGACUGAGACACGGCCCAGACUCCUACGGGAGGCAGCAGUGGGGAAUAUUGGACAAUGGGCGAAAGCCUGAUCCAGCAAUGCCGCGUGAGUGAUGAAGGCCUUAGGGUUGUAAAGCUCUUUACCCGGGAUGAUAAUGACAGUACCGGGAGAAUAAGCUCCGGCUAACUCCGUGCCAGCAGCAGCCG
rnacentral:rRNA from 1 species